rnacentral:rRNA from 1 species
AGAGUUUGAUCCUGGCUCAGAUUGAACGCUGGCGGCAUGCCUUACACAUGCAAGUCGAACGGCAGCACGGAGCUUGCUCUGGUGGCGAGUGGCGAACGGGUGAGUAAUAUAUCGGAACGUACCCUGGAGUGGGGGAUAACGUAGCGAAAGUUACGCUAAUACCGCAUACGAUCUAAGGAUGAAAGUGGGGGAUCGCAAGACCUCAUGCUCGUGGAGCGGCCGAUAUCUGAUUAGCUAGUUGGUAGGGUAAAAGCCUACCAAGGCAUCGAUCAGUAGCUGGUCUGAGAGGACGACCAGCCACACUGGAACUGAGACACGGUCCAGACUCCUACGGGAGGCAGCAGUGGGGAAUUUUGGACAAUGGGCGCAAGCCUGAUCCAGCAAUGCCGCGUGAGUGAAGAAGGCCUUCGGGUUGUAAAGCUCUUUUGUCAGGGAAGAAACGGUGGAGGCUAAUAUCCUCUGCUAAUGACGGUACCUGAAGAAUAAGCACCGGCUAACUACGUGCCAGCAGCCGCGGUAAUACGUAGGGUGCAAGCGUUAAUCGGAAUUACUGGGCGUAAAGCGUGCGCAGGCGGUUUUGUAAGUCUGAUGUGAAAUCCCCGGGCUCAACCUGGGAAUUGCAUUGGAGACUGCAAGGCUAGAAUCUGGCAGAGGGGGGUAGAAUUCCACGUGUAGCAGUGAAAUGCGUAGAUAUGUGGAGGAACACCGAUGGCGAAGGCAGCCCCCUGGGUCAAGAUUGACGCUCAUGCACGAAAGCGUGGGGAGCAAACAGGAUUAGAUACCCUGGUAGUCCACGCCCUAAACGAUGUCUACUAGUUGUCGGGUCUUAAUUGACUUGGUAACGCAGCUAACGCGUGAAGUAGACCGCCUGGGGAGUACGGUCGCAAGAUUAAAACUCAAAGGAAUUGACGGGGACCCGCACAAGCGGUGGAUGAUGUGGAUUAAUUCGAUGCAACGCGAAAAACCUUACCUACCCUUGACAUGGCUGGAAUCCUGAAGAAAUUUGGGAGUGCUCGAAAGAGAACCAGUACACAGGUGCUGCAUGGCUGUCGUCAGCUCGUGUCGUGAGAUGUUGGGUUAAGUCCCGCAACGAGCGCAACCCUUGUCAUUAGUUGCUACGAAAGGGCACUCUAAUGAGACUGCCGGUGACAAACCGGAGGAAGGUGGGGAUGACGUCAAGUCCUCAUGGCCCUUAUGGGUAGGGCUUCACACGUCAUACAAUGGUACAUACAGAGCGCCGCCAACCCGCGAGGGGGAGCUAAUCGCAGAAAGUGUAUCGUAGUCCGGAUUGUAGUCUGCAACUCGACUGCAUGAAGUUGGAAUCGCUAGUAAUCGCGGAUCACC